AAAAAACUCUACAAAAUAUGGAGCAGAACUUCAAUCACAGCGUAUGGGGGUACUGUUGGCUUUUGGUGUUCCUGCCUGCUCUGUUCAAGUGCUGUGGGAGUGCACCUACUGACCUACAGAUGUUGUGGGACUGUGUUUUCUGCUCAUCCUCAAGUUCAUCCAAAUGAGAUAACAAGAAGCUUGAUGUCACCAAGGGAAUGAAUGGAAAGGUGUUAUGGUAAAAUGGAGGAGAAAUAUUGAACCGGCUUCGUGUGGCAAAGAAAAUAGGAGGAGGAGGACAGCAGAUGUGAGCAUCUCUGAACCAGGAAGUUCUCAAGGCGCAUUUCCAUCUUGAAGAUGUGCCAGGACACAUAAGAGCACACGACACAACAAGAAAACUUAUUGGAGAGGCAAGAUUGCUUGUUUUUAAUCCCGUGAUAAAACAAAGGUUGCCGUUGCAUUUUGCAUCUGCAGAUCUAGUCCCCAGUACCUUCGUUAGCCCCAGUUUCGAGGUCUGAGUUGCGACGCUUUGUAUUUUCGAUCGGACGCCAAUUUAUUUUUGACCCGUUCUUACUCAUUAUAGCCGAUAGAUGGCAGCAAACGACCACAGAUCUUCCGUUCCUAUCGUAGCCUGCUCCUCCUCGAUAGCUUUCUGUGGAAUUUUCCUAUUUGAAACCGAAACGGUGCUGAUUCCGCAGUAGCAGAACGCAGUACGAGGCAGCAGACCCGAUUUAACAUGUUAGAGCGUUAAGGCCAGUGAUGGAACUGUCUGUUGCGUUCCUGUUUCCAGCGAUGCCGGUGUGACCCGUUGUUCUGUGCCGAGCUGCACGCUUGUUUCUGCAGCUACCUGAGACAUCUUGGAAAAGCACUUUCUUGAGCGCUGAUCUACUUGCAAUUUCCCUGUAGUCUUUACACCAAAACACGUAAAC
rnacentral:lncRNA from 7 species